GUGGCGCACGGGUGAGUAAUGUAUAGGUAAUAUGCCUCUUACUAAGGGAUAACAAAUGGAAACGUUUGCUAAUACCUUAUACUCCUUAUUAACCUAAGUUAAUAAGGGAAAGAUUUAUUGGUAAGAGAUUAGCCUGUAUUGUAUCAGUUAGUUGGUGGGGUAAUGGCCUACCAAGACUAUGACACAUAACUGGUUUGAGAGGAUGAUCAGUCACACUGGAACUGAGACACGGUCCAGACUCCUACGGGAGGCAGCAGUGGGGAAUAUUGCACAAUGGACGAAAGUCUGAUGCAGCAACGCCGCGUGGAGGAUGACACAUUUCGGUGCGUAAACUCCUUUUAUAUGAGAAGAUAAUGACGGUAUUAUAUGAAUAAGCACCGGCUAACUCCGUGCCAGCAGCCGCGGUAAUACGGGGGGUGCAAGCGUUACUCGGAAUCACUGGGCGUAAAGAGCAUGUAGGCGGAUUAAUAAGUUUGAAGUGAAAUCCUAUA
rnacentral:rRNA from 1 species